UACGUAGGGUGCGAGCGUUAAUCGGAAUUACUGGGCGUAAAGCGUGCGCAGGCGGUGAUGUAAGACCGAUGUGAAAUCCCCGAGCUUAACCUGGGAACUGCAUUGGUGACUGCAUCGCUCGAGUAUGGCAGAGGGGGGUAGAAUUCCACGUGUAGCAGUGAAAUGCGUAGAGAUGUGGAGGAAUACCGAUGGCGAAGGCAGCCCCCUGGGUCAAUACUGACGCUCAUGCACGAAAACGUGGGGAGCAAACAGG
rnacentral:rRNA from 1 species